CCAGAGAUGGCGGGCCCCCGCGCCCCCGUCCCCCAACCCUUUGUUGACCAACGUUCCUUUGCCUCGGGGGCAGAGCGGCCGCCGCCGCCCCCGGAGGACCACUAAACUCUGUCUCUGUACGUCGGAGUCUUUGAUUAAACAAACA
rnacentral:misc_RNA from 1 species